UACGAAGGGGGCUAGCGUUGCUCGGAAUGACUGGGCGUAAAGGGCGCGUAGGCGGCUCAUACAGUCAGAUGUGAAAUUCCUGGGCUUAACCUGGGGGCUGCAUUUGAUACGUGUGGGCUUGAGUGGGGAAGAGGGUCGUGGAAUUCCCAGUGUAGAGGUGAAAUUCGUAGAUAUUGGGAAGAACACCGGUGGCGAAAGCGGCGCGCUGGACCUCUUCUGACGCUGAGGCGCGAAAGCUAGGGGAGCAAACGGG
rnacentral:rRNA from 1 species